ACGAACCGUGCGAACGUUAUUCGGAAUCACUGGGCGUAAAGCGCGUGUAGGCGGCCCACUAAGUCUGAUGUGAAAGCCCGGGGCUCACCCCCGGAAGUGCAUUGGAAACUGGUGGACUCGAGUCCCGGAGAGGAGAGUGGAAUUCCUGGUGUAGCGGUGAAAUGCGUAGAUAUCAGGAGGAACACCGGUGGCGAAGGCGGCUCUCUGGACGGUGACUGACGCUGAGACGCGAAAGCGUGGGGAGCAAACAGGA
rnacentral:rRNA from 1 species